AUUGAACGCUAGCGGCAUGCUUUACACAUGCAAGUCGAACGAGUGGCGGACGGGUGAGUAGUAUUUCGGAACGUGCCCAGUAGCGGGGGAUAACUACUCGAAAGUGUGGCUAAUACCGCAUACUAUUGGAGCGGCCGAUAUCUGAUUAGCUAGUUGGUGGGGUAAAGGCUCACCAAGGCAACGAUCCGUAGCUGGUUUGAGAGGAGGACCAGCCACACUGGGACUGAGACACGGCCCAGACUCCUACGGGAGGCAGCAGUGGGGAAUUUUGGACAAUGGGGGAAACCCUGAUCCAGCCAUCCCGCGUGUAUGAGAAGGCCUUCGGGUUGUAAAGUACUUUUGGCAGAGAGGCGGUAUCUGCAGAAGAAGCACCGGCUAACUACGUGCCAGCAGCCGCGGUAAUUC
rnacentral:rRNA from 1 species